rnacentral:rRNA from 1 species
AAUAGAUACCCUGGUAGUCCACGCCGUAAACGUUGGAUACUAGGUGUGGCGUCCCGAUCAACGGAUGCCGUGCCGAAGCUAACGCAUUAAGUAUCCCGCCUGGGGAGUACGGCCGCAAGGCUAAAACUCAAAGGAAUUGACGGGUCCCCGCACAAGCGGCGGAGCAUGCGGCUUAAUUCGAUGCAACCCGAAGAACCUUACCUGGGUUUGAAAUCAUGGGAAAAGCUGUAGAAAUACAGUGUCCGUAAGGGCCCAUGACAGGUGGUGCAUGGCUGUCGUCAGCUCGUGUCGUGAGAUGUUGGGUUAAGUCCCGCAACGAGCGCAACCCUUGUCCUAUGUUGCCAGCGGUUCGGCCGGGGACUCAUAGGAGACUGCCGGGGAUAACUCGGAGGAAGGUGAGGACGACGUCAAGUCAUCAUGCCCCUUAUAUCCAGGGCUGCACGCAUGCUACAAUGGUCGGUACAACGGGCAGCGACCCCGCGAGGGUGAGCGAAUCCCACAAAGCCGGCCUCAGUUCGGAUUGGAGUCUGCAACUCGA